GCCAGCAGCCGCGGUAACACCGGCGGCCCGAGUGGUGAUCGUGAUUAUUGGGUCUAAAGGGUCCGUAGCCGGUUUGGUCAGUCCUCCGGGAAAUCUGAUAGCUCAACUAUUAGGCUUUCGGGGGAUACUGCCAGACUUGGAACCGGGAGAGGUAAGAGGUACUACAGGGGUAGGAGUGAAAUCUUGUAAUCCCCUGUGGGACCACCUGUGGCGAAGGCGUCUUACCAGAACGGGUUCGACGGUGAGGACGAAAGCUGGGGGCACGAACCGGAUUAGAUACCCGGGUAGUCCCAGCCGUAAACGAUGCUCGCUAGGUGUCAGGCAUGGCGCGACCGUGUCUGGUGCCGCAGGGAAGCCGUGAAGCGAGCCACCUGGGAAGUACGGCCGCAAGGCUGAAACUUAAAGGAAUUGGCGGGGGAGCACAACAACGGGUGGAGCCCUGCGGUUUAAUUGGACUCAACGCCGGACAACUCACCGGGGGCGACAGCAAUAUGUAGGCCAAGCUGAAGACUUUGCCUGAAUCGCUGAGAAGAGGUGCAUGG
rnacentral:rRNA from 1 species